rnacentral:rRNA from 1 species
AUUGAACGCUGGCGGCAUGCCUUACACAUGCAAGUCGAACGGUAACAGGUCUUCGGAUGCUGACGAGUGGCGAACGGGUGAGUAAUACAUCGGAACGUGCCCGAUCGUGGGGGAUAACGGAGCGAAAGCUUUGCUAAUACCGCAUACGAUCUACGGAUGAAAGCAGGGGACCGCAAGGCCUUGCGCGGACGGAGCGGCCGAUGGCAGAUUAGGUAGUUGGUGGGAUAAAAGCUUACCAAGCCGACGAUCUGUAGCUGGUCUGAGAGGACGACCAGCCACACUGGGACUGAGACACGGCCCAGACUCCUACGGGAGGCAGCAGUGGGGAAUUUUGGACAAUGGGCGAAAGCCUGAUCCAGCCAUGCCGCGUGCAGGAUGAAGGCCUUCGGGUUGUAAACUGCUUUUGUACGGAACGAAAAGACUCUUUCUAAUAAAGACGGUCCAUGACGGUACCGUAAGAAUAAGCACCGGCUAACUACGUG